rnacentral:rRNA from 1 species
CAGCACCUCAAGUGGUCAGGAUGAUUAUUGGGCCUAAAGCAUCCGUAGCCGGCGCUGUAAGUUUUCGGUUAAAUCUGUACGCUCAACGUACAGGCUGCCGGGAAUACUGCAGCGCUAGGGAGUGGGAGAGGUAGACGGUACUCGGUAGGAAGGGGUAAAAUCCUUUGACCUAUUGAUGACCACCUGUGGCGAAGGCGGUCUACCAGAACACGUCCGACGGUGAGGGAUGAAAGCUGGGGGAGCAAACCGGAUUAGAUACCCGUGUAGUC